GUAUUGGACUACCAUGGCAGUCACGGGUAACGGAGAAUUAGGGUUCGAUUCCGGAGAGGGAGCCUGAGAAACGGCUACCACAUCUACGGAAGGCAGCAGGCGCGCAAAUUGCCCAAUCCUGACACGGGGAGGCAGUGACAAGAAAUAACAACUCUAGGAUUUCUUAGAAGUGUAAUGAGGAUAAUUUACAAACCUUACCGAAUGCAAUUGGAGGGCAAGUCUGGUGCCAGCAGCCGCGGUAAUUCCAGCUCCAAUAGCGUAUAUUAAAGUUGUUGCAGUUAAAAAGCUCGUAGUUGAAGUUCUGAUUGCUCAGGUUUCCAGCCUUAGGCGGAGAUACUGACAGUCAUCCGCUUGCAAAACAUAUGUUCGAUCUUCACCGGUUGGCUAUGUGAGUAAGCACUUUACCUUGAGAAAAACAGAGUGUUCCAGGCAGGUUUGUCCGGGAUGCAUUAGCAUGGAAUAAUAGAACAUGACUGAAGUCGAUUUAUGGUUUAAGCUUUAGUAAUGAUUAA
rnacentral:rRNA from 1 species